CGCAGAAGCAGAAGCAUGCGCCAGCCUUUAGAAGCAGUUUAGCCAAUCACUGAUUAAAGUCAAUGAGUGACACAUCCUUUCAGAGUCCUAAAAUCCAUUGAGUUGUGGGCAGAGCUCUUCACCGCCCUACGCGAGUCUCACACCAGUUAAAACAAGAGUGACCACGAGCAGUGUCCUUCCAAGAAGACCUGACCCGAACUCUGUACCAGAGAAAGGAGAGCUGGCAUCUGGGCUCCUCAUUGGUCCAUCAUCAAGCCCUCGUCACCGCCAGCUGAAUUAUCCCGGUUUCCGGUUGUCUCAUCGCCCGAUCGUCUCUUCACGUCUGUGGCAGAUAUACUCUCGCCCCGUUAGCCGGGGCAGGCGGUCCUCUCCUGAACACGUGUUGUCAAAUUCCUGCACCACCUCCAGUCCAACAAUCACCACCACCAUACAACCCCGAUCCUACGGUUGGCAGACCUGUAACACGCAGUCAAACCCGGCUGGGAGACCAGGGAGGUGCAGACGUCAAAUCAUGCUCACCCCUCAACCCAUUGAGACCUGACCCCACAGCUCAGUCCACCCCGGACUCUGCAUGGUCAAUCCACGACCCAUCCCCCUGGAGGGGCACAGCCGGCAGAAUUGUGAAUUUUCUUAGUCCUAACACCACCAUGGACAGUAAACUGGACGGGUCUUAUAUUCAAGCCCCCAUGUUUCAAGUUCCAGGGCCACAGGAUGGACUACCUGCCUCCCAUCUGCCCACCAUAAAAAAUGGCGUGGCUUUUGGAAAAGAGUUCCUGACGUUAUGCAAAGACAUAACAGCCAUCUGUGCUGCUGUGGUUGCGGCCUUCCAAGUCAACAUGGCCCUCAUCAACAGCACGAAACAAGAUGCAUACAAAGAUAUGCCAACUACAAGAGUAAUUGUGGAAUUACUGCAUUGUGAUCUGUGUUGACUGUCUACAACGCGGGUGCCUCACAAGAAAGAAGGUUUGCAGACUCCACAUCCCAACGUGUACCUGCGGACCAACACAAGAAGAAGAACAUGGCCAGAACCCCUUCACAUAGACACAGUAGUAUUUUCGCAAAUCCUUCAGUCUGCUGAUUGUGCUCCCCGGAGAUCUGAACUAAAAAGGCCAAGUUGGGAGCCCUACACGACUGAGGGGCCGAGAGUACCCAACGGCUCUCCUCCGGACCGUAUCCCUCCCAGUCCAGGUAACUUCUGCCAUGGCGACGUACAUCCAGGAGCCAUUGAAUGGAGUUGGCAUGAUACCCGUUAAUCAUCUGGGUGGGUGGCGGGAGAACUGGUGGAGGGCACAGUGGGCUGGUGGACACCGGUUUCAACUGUGACUCAUGGAAUGUGGGAUGGACCCUCAUGGUGCGGAGAAGUUCCAGUCGCAGAGCUGUAGGGUUACUUAUCUUCUCCACAACGAAGGUAACGUUGUGCCAGUUUCUCUGAUUCAGUCUUUAUUGGAAUAUGUUUGGAGGAAAGCCAUAGUUUCUGACCUGGUUUGUAUGCAGAAGCUGGUGUCCGGUGGCGGUUUGCAAUGCGCUGGUUGUUUUCAGCUGAGCGGAGUAGGGCAGAGCGGGUGUAUCCCCAGACCUUAUGGCAGCGGCGGAGGUGCAUUUGAACUGAUGGGACAGCUAUGUCACCCUCUAGAGAGGGAAACAGGGGCGGCUGAGACAAACCUCUGGCAGUGCUGGUCAGGGAAUUAUGGGCGUAUUCAAUCCAUGCGAGUUGUGCGCUCCAGGCAGUGUGAUUGGCGGCGGUUACACACCGUAGAGCAGGAUGGGUGGUGAGGUGAAGCUCCUUCUUAGCUCUUAGCCUUGGGGGUCCACGUGAAAGGGGUGGAGGUGAGUUUGGUUAACGGAGCCGCUAUCUUGCUGUAGUCUCUGAUGAACCGACGAUAGAAAUUAGCGAACCCCAGGAACCGCUGUAAUUCCGGUUGUGGGGUCUGGGCCAGUUUGUCACAGCCUUGAUCUUCUCUGGGUCAGCCCUUACCUGCCCACUAGCAAAAAUGUACCCCAGAAAAGCGACUGAACAAGCGUGGAACUUGCAUUUCUCGGCUUUCACAUAGAGCUGUUCUCCAGGAGUCUCUGGAGAACCUGACAGACGUGGGAGACAUGAUCGGAAAGAUCAUCCAGGUAAACAAACACAAAACGAUUGAGAAAGUCACUUAGCACGUUAUUAACAAAUGCUUUGAAAAACUGCAGGAGCGUUUGUGAGGCCGAACGGCAUCACCAGAUACUCAAAAUGCCCCAGUGGAGUGUUGAAACCAGUCUUCCAUUCUUCCCCCUCCCUGAUUCUGACCAGGUGGUAGGCACUCCGGAGAUCCAGCUUUGUGAAGACUGUUGCGCCCUGGAGUGGCUCAAAAGCAGAGUUUAUUAGUGGUAGGGGGUACUUGUUCUUAAUGGUUAUAUUGUUCAACCCACAAAAGUCAAUACAUGGUCGGAGGGAGUGGUCCUUUCAUGGAAACAAAAAAGAAUCCAGCACCAACUGGGGAUGAGGAUGGUCUGAUUAUACCAGCACUCAGUGACUCCUUGAUAUACUUUUCCAUUGCUUCCCUCUCUGGACGGGCCAAGUUAUAGAGCCGACUAGUUGGAAGAGGAGCACCGGAGAGGGGUGAGGGGGAGAGGAGAGCGCUAAGUUCUUACUGAACACCAAACCCAAAUCAUGAUACUCUGCAGGUAUGGUGGAUAGAUCUGGAGGCUUGGAGCUUGAUGGUGAUAUGGCAACAUCUGCUAGGGACAGGUCUGACCUCCAGCCCCAGACACAAACUGCUGACCAGUCAAUGUGUGGGUUGUGUGUCUGUAACCAACAUGCAACAACCUAAACUAACACUAAAACAUUUUAAUGGGCACGCACAACUGUCACAUGUUCUGCCGUUGAGGUAAGUAUAUUGUAACUAUAUUAUACACCAGGGGUGCCGAAACUUUUACGGCUUGCGAGCUACUUUUCAACUACUUUUCGUCAUGGCGAUGGCGGCUGGGGGGGG
ensembl:lncRNA